rnacentral:lncRNA from 1 species
GGAGUCCAACAUCUUCUCCUGCCUGGUGAGAAGCACACAGCCCAAGGCAGACUGGGAAUCUCAGCUCCACAUACCCAGAGACUAUUUCCCUGCUCCCUCUGGAUGGAUGGUGGCUCUCUUCCUAACAGCAGCUGUUACUGUAGCAGCAUCAGUACUUCUGGUGAUCCAGUGGAGAAGAAUGGACAGGCAGGAGAAACUCAAUGGUGAGUAAAUCAGUCAGACUCUCUGUGCUGUGUCCUGUAGUGAUUUCAGCAGGAGC